rnacentral:sRNA from 1 species
AGUCUAGCUGCUGCACAGGCUGGCUGGCUGGCUGCUAAGGGCUGCUCCACGCUUUUGCCGGAGGACAGAGACUGACAUGGAACAGGGGAAGGGCCUGGCUGUCCUCAUCCUGGCUAUCAUUCUUCUUCAAGGCACUUUGGCCCAGUCAAUCAAAGGAAACCACUUGGUUAAGGUGUAUGACUAUCAAGAAGAUGGUUCGGUACUUCUGACUUGUGAUGCGGAAGCCAAAAAUAUCACAUGGUUUAAAGAUGGGAAGAUGAUAGGCUUCCUAACUGAAGAUAAAAAAAAAUGGAAUCUGGGAAGUAAUGCCAAGGACCCUCGAGGGAUGUAUCAGUGUAAAGGAUCACAGAACAAGUCAAAACCACUCCAAGUGUAUUACAGAAUGUGUCAGAACUGCAUUGAACUAAAUGCAGCCACCAUAUCUGGCUUUCUCUUUGCUGAAAUCGUCAGCAUUUUCGUCCUUGCUGUUGGGGUCUACUUCAUUGCUGGACAGGAUGGAGUUCGCCAGUCGAGAGGUAAAAGAAUGCUCUUAGAUGAGAGAUGGGACCACCUGAGACCCUCAGCUUUCCUCCUACCAUUAUGUACCCAAUAGAAGAGACUGAGUUGGUGCCUCUUGCUAGUGUGCAUAGUUGGGUGAGGCUGUAUUUCUCUGAGACAGGAGAAAAGGAUACUUGGUGUUAUCACAGCGUGUUCACCGGUCUCAAGAUACAACUCCCUCUGUGAAAAAAAAAAAAAAAAAAAAAAAAA